GCUUUAAUAAUUUAAAAUAAAAUAUUGACCUUGUAAGUCAAACAUAGACUUUACAUCUUUAAAGCU
rnacentral:tRNA from 1 species